rnacentral:rRNA from 1 species
GAUGAACGCUGGCGGCGUGCCUAAUACAUGCAAGUCGAGCGAACGGACGAGAAGCUUGCUUCUCUGAUGUUAGCGGCGGACGGGUGAGUAACACGUGGAUAACCUACCUAUAAGACUGGGAUAACUUCGGGAAACCGGAGCUAAUACCGGAUAAUAUUUUGAACCGCAUGGUUCAAAAGUGAAAGACGGUCUUGCUGUCACUUAUAGAUGGAUCCGCGCUGCAUUAGCUAGUUGGUAAGGUAACGGCUUACCAAGGCAACGAUGCAUAGCCGACCUGAGAGGGUGAUCGGCCACACUGGAACUGAGACACGGUCCAGACUCCUACGGGAGGCAGCAGUAGGGAAUCUUCCGCAAUGGGCGAAAGCCUGACGGAGAAACGCCGCGUGAGUGAUGAAGGUCUUCGGAUCGUAAAACUCUGUUAUUAGGGAAGAACAUAUGUGUAAGUAACUGUGCACAUCUUGACGGUACCUAAUCAGAAAGCCACGGCUAACUACGUG